rnacentral:hammerhead_ribozyme from 1 species
AUCCGGAUGACGAGUCGCACACAGGACGAAAUGCGCAUCCUGGAU